UACGUAGGGGGCAAGCGUUGUCCGGAUUUAUUGGGCGUAAAGAGCGUGUAGGCGGCUAGUUAGGUCUGUUGUGAAAACUCGAGGCUCAACCUCGAGACGCCGAUGGAAACCAUUUGGCUAGAGUCCGGAAGAGGAGAGUGGAAUUCCUGGUGUAGCGGUGAAAUGCGCAGAUAUCAGGAAGAACACCCGUGGCUAAGGCGGCUCUCUAGUACGGUACUGACGCUGAGACGCGAAAGCGUGGGGAGCAAACAGG
rnacentral:rRNA from 1 species